rnacentral:rRNA from 1 species
UGGGGAAUUUUGGACAAUGGGCGAAAGCCUGAUCCAGCAAUGCCGCGUGUGUGAAGAAGGCCUUCGGGUUGUAAAGCACUUUUGUCCGGAAAGAAAUCCUUGGCUCUAAUACAGUCGGGGGAUGACGGUACCGGAAGAAUAAGCGCCGGCUAACUACGUGCCAGCAGCCGCGGUAAUACGUAGGGUGCAAGCGUUAAUCGGAAUUACUGGGCGUAAAGCGUGCGCAGGCGGUUUGCUAAGACCGAUGUGAAAUCCCCGGGCUCAACCUGGGAACUGCAUUGGUGACUGGCAGGCUAGAGUAUGGCAGAGGGGGGUAGAAUUCCACGUGUAGCAGUGAAAUGCGUAGAGAUGUGGAGGAAUACCGAUGGCGAAGGCAGCCCCCUGGGCCAAAUACUGACGCUCAUGCACGAAAGCGUGGGGAGCAAACAGGAUUAGAUACCCUGGUAGUCCACGCCCUAAACGAUGUCAACUAGUUGUUGGGGAUUCAUUUCCUUAGUAACGUAGCUAACGCGUGAAGUUGACCGCCUGGGGAGUACGGUCGCAAGAUUAAAACUCAAAGGAAUUGACGGGGUCAUAGCUGUUUCCU